AGGAGGAGGAGGAGGAGGAGGAGGAGGAGAAAUAAAAGUGGGUGAAUUUGCAAAAGAUGAAAAUACGUGCGGAGUGAAUGUGUGCCAGAAUACCGAGGGUGACGCUAUAGUACUUUACUGCCAGAAACCGGCCCCGUUCGAAAUGUGUAAUACCGAUGGAGUCUCCA